AUGAACGCUAGCUACAGGCUUAACACAUGCAAGUCGAGGGGCAGCAUGAACUUAGCUUGCUAAGUUUGAUGGCGACCGGCGCACGGGUGAGUAACACGUAUCCAACCUGCCGAUGACUCGGGGAUAGCCUUUCGAAAGAAAGAUUAAUACCCGAUGGCAUAGUUCUUCCGCAUGGUGGAACUAUUAAAGAAUUUCGGUCAUCGAUGGGGAUGCGUUCCAUUAGGUUGUUGGCGGGGUAACGGCCCACCAAGCCUUCGAUGGAUAGGGGUUCUGAGAGGAAGGUCCCCCACAUUGGAACUGAGACACGGUCCAAACUCCUACGGGAGGCAGCAGUGAGGAAUAUUGGUCAAUGGACGAGAGUCUGAACCAGCCAAGUAGCGUGAAGGAUGACUGCCCUAUGGGUUGUAAACUUCUUUUAUACGGGAAUAAAGUGAGGCACGCGUGCCUUUUUGUAUGUACCGUAUGAAUAAGGAUCGGCUAACUCCGUGCCAGCAGCCGCGGUAAUACGGAGGAUCCGAGCGUUAUCCGGAUUUAUUGGGUUUAAAGGGAGCGUAGGCGGACGCUUAAGUCAGUUGUGAAAGUUUGCGGCUCAACCGUAAAAUUGCAGUUGAUACUGGGUGUCUUGAGUACAGUAGAGGCAGGCGGAAUUCGUGGUGUAGCGGUGAAAUGCUUAGAUAUCACGAAGAACUCCGAUUGCGAAGGCAGCCUGCUGGACUGUAACUGACGCUGAUGCUCGAAAGUGUGGGUAUCAAACAGGAUUAGAUACCCUGGUAGUCCACACAGUAAACGAUGAAUACUAGGUGUCGGGAGGCAUUGCCUUUCGGUGCCGUCGCAAACGCAUUAAGUAUUCCACCUGGGGAGUACGCCGGCAACGGUGAAACUCAAAGGAAUUGACAGGGGCCCGCACAAGCGGAGGAACAUGUGGUUUAAUUCGAUGAUACGCGAGGAACCUUACCCGGGCUUGAAUUGCAACUGAAUGAUGUGGAGACAUGUCAGCCGCAAGGCAGUUGUGAAGGUGCUGCAUGGUUGUCGUCAGCUCGUGCCGUGAGGUGUCGGCUUAAGUGCCAUAACGAGCGCAACCCUUAUCGAUAGUUACCAUCAGGUUAUGCUGGGGACUCUGUCGAGACUGCCGUCGUAAGAUGUGAGGAAGGUGGGGAUGACGUCAAAUCAGCACGGCCCUUACGUCCGGGGCUACACACGUGUUACAAUGGGGGGUACAGAAGGCAGCUACACGGCGACGUGAUGCUAAUCCCGAAAGCCUCUCUCAGUUCGGAUUGGAGUCUGCAACCCGACUCCAUGAAGCUGGAUUCGCUAGUAAUCGCGCAUCAGCCACGGCGCGGUGAAUACGUUCCCGGGCCUUGUACACACCGCCCGUCAAGCCAUGAAAGCCGGGGGUACCUGAAGUGCGUAACCGCGAGGAGCGCCCUAGGGUAAAACUGGUGAUUGGGGCU
rnacentral:rRNA from 1 species